CACGGGGGUUGCGAGCGUUGUCCGGAAUUACUAGGCGUAAAGGGCAGGCAGGCGGAUCCAUAAGUUUAUCGUUUAAGGCGUCGGCUUAACCGGCGUAGGGCGGUAGAUACUGUGGAUCUGGAAUGCGGUUGGGGAAGACAGAAUUCCUGGUGUAGCGGUGGAAUGCGCAGAGAUCAGGAGGAAUACCGAAGGCGAAGGCAGUCUUCCAAGCAGUUAUUGACGCUCAACUACGAAGGUGUGGGUAUCAAACAGGAUUAGAUACCCUGGUAGUCCCUGA
rnacentral:rRNA from 1 species